AAGACAAUACUUUUUGGACUAAUUUCUAUAGGUGAUUACCAGAGAAUUUUUUCCGAGCCUGUAGAGUUCUGAGAACCAAGCAGAGGCACAGACUUCUCUCCUGAGAGAGCAAAGCUGGCUUUAUUGUUGCUUGGCCACAACUGCCAUUGCUAUUGAUGGCCACCAUCCUUUAGGAGAGGGAGUGGAGGGGGAAAGGGGAGGAUGGC